GACGAACGCUGGCGGCGUGCUUAACACAUGCAAGUCGAACGCGCCUGUCCUCUGGGUUUCUGGGGGGUGGGUGAGUGGCGAACGGGUGAGUAACACGUGAGUAACCUGCCCCCUUCUUCGGGAUAACGGUCUGAAAGGGCUGCUAAUACCGGGUAUUCACUGGUCUCCGCAUGGGGUCUGGGGGAAAGGUUUUUUUCUGGUGGGGGAUGGGCUCGCGGCCUAUCAGCUUGUUGGUGGGGUGAUGGCCCACCAAGGCUUUGACGGGUAGCCGGCCUGAGAGGGUGACCGGUCACAUUGGGACUGAGAUACGGCCCAGACUCCUACGGGAGGCAGCAGUGGGGAAUAUUGCACAAUGGGCGCAAGCCUAAUGCAGCGACGCCGCGUGAGGGAUGGAGGCCUUCGGGUUGUGAACCUCUUUCGCCCGCGGUCAAGCCGCGACGUGGGUCGUGGUGGGGGUAGUGGGUAAAGAAGCGCCGGCUAACUACGUG
rnacentral:rRNA from 1 species